CGGGCAGGUGGAGGUCGUUAGCGCGAGCAGUUCACCUAGGAGAGCAAACUCCGAUUAUAAACCCGGUCAGGUGGAGGUCGUUAGCGCGAGCAGUUCACCUAGGAGAGCAAACUCCGAUUAUAAACCCGGGCAGGUGGAGCUCGUUAGCGUGAGCAGUUCACCUAGGAGAGCAAACUCCGAUUAUAAACCCGGGCAGGUGAAGGUCGUUAGCCGUGGUAGGCAGUUCAUCUAGGAGAGGGACAACUCCGAACAACAAACACGGACAGAUGGAGGUCGUUAGCCAUGGUAGGCAGUUCAUCUAGGAGAGGGACAACUCCGAACAACAAACACGGACAGAUGGAGGUCGUUAGCCAUGGUAGGCAAUUCAUCUAGGAGAGGGACAACUCCGAACAACAAACACGGACAGAUGGAGGUCGUUAGCCAUGGUAGGCAAUUCAUCUAGGAGAGGGACAACUCCGAACAACAAACACGGGCAGAUGGAGGUCGUUAGCGCGAGCAGUUCACCUAGGAGAGCAAACUCCGAUUAUAAACCCGGGCAGGUGGAGCUCGUUAGCGCGAGCAGUUCACCUAGGAGAGCAAACUCCGAUUAUAAACCCGGGCAGGUGGAGGUCGUUAGCGUGAGCAGUUCACCUAGGAGAGCAAACUCCGAUUAUAAACCCGGGCAGGUGGAGCUCGUUAGCGCGAGCAGUUCACCUAGGAGAGCAAACUCCGAUUAUAAACCCGGGCAGGUGGAGCUCGUUAGCGUGAGCAGUUCACCUAGGAGAAGGACAACUCUGACCAAAAACCCGGGCAGGAGGGGGUCGUUAGCCGUGGUAGGCAGUCCUCCUAGGAGAAGGAAAACUCCGAAUUCAAACCAACCAAACACACACACACACACACACAACCAACCGGGCAGGUGGGACUCGUUAUAGGCGUCGUAGACAAUCCACCAAGGGGAAUCAACAAAAGAAGGUAUAAUAAAAAUGAACACGAGAAAAGAAUAAUAUGAAAUUAGAACCGGACAAAAAAGGAUAAUAUAAGACAGAACAUCGGAAAAAGGAAACAA